CUCAGAGAGAGAUACACUGCAUCCUAACUGCACCCAGAGAGAGAGAGACACUGCACCCUAACUGCACUCAGAGAGAGAGAGAUACACUGCAUUCUAACUGCACUCAGAGAGAGAUACACUGCAUCCUAACUGCAUCCAGAGAGUGAGAGAUACACUGCAUCCUCUCUGCACCCAGAGAGAGAGAGAUACACUGCAUCCUAACUGCACAGAGAGAGAGAGAGAGAGAUACACUGCAUCCUAACUGCACCCAGAGAGAGAGAGAUACACUGCAUCCUAACUGCACUCAGAGAGAGAGAGAUACACUACAUUCUAACUGCACUCAGAGAGAGAGAGAUACACUGCAUUCUAACUGCACUCAGAGAGAGAUACACUGCAUCCUAACUGCAC